GCCCCGCUAGCUCAACGGUAGAGCAGCUGACUCUUAAUCAGUUGGUUCGAGGUUCGAAUCCUCGGCGGGGCACCU
rnacentral:tRNA from 1 species